rnacentral:ncRNA from 1 species
AUAUAGUCUUCUGAGGAGUAGUAGGAAUUUACGGCAUUAAGAGAGCUGGUGGUUGGUGCAAACCAGUUGCACGAAAUUCUGAACUCGCCUCGUAAAAAGAAGACAGGGAGACCUAUAAAUCAAUGAGUGGGCCAAAUUUGGUCAAAUAGGGUGGUACCGCGAGUUUUAGCCUCGUCCCUAUG